AACAUAGUAAAAUAAGCAGAAACAUUGUUUACAGUGAAAAAUAAAAUUCACCUACAAGUGAUAAAAGAAGCUCCUUUCAAUUUCUGUUAAUCUUAAAUUAAAUAAAUUGUAUUACAAUUCACAGACAAGGUGGUGAAUAAUAUCCAUUCAGCUUUGUCCGGAACAGCACAGAUGAUAGUGACGUCGUGGAAUUCACCUUUGUGGCUAUUUAGUGACCCGUUAUCACGUGGGCUGUGAGAAAUCAGACUGCUAGUCUAGAUUAGCAUCUAGACUGAAAGUCUGAGAAUAGGUGAAAGCCGAAGUAGGAUGCCCAGUACCUGAUUUUUAAUAUGAAACUCUCCUUUGUCUCUUAUGUUUUGAGUUGGUUAUCUGAAUGCCUGUCUUAUUUGCCUUUGCUUUCAAGAGAUAAGAACUAUAAUGAUUCACCUUUGUUUCCAUCUAGGACAGACUUUUCCAUAGAGCAGGUGCUAAGAAAACACUUAAUUGAAUUUAAUUAAAGAGGCAUUGGUAUAGUAGGAAGUUCACUGGUCUUGGAGAUAGCAAUUUGGUUUCAAGGCCAGGCUUUGGUCAGGAUGCUUCCUUUCCAGCUCAACUAGGACUUCCUCUCUGGGGGGCCUCCUUGCCACCCACUCUACCCUGCAUUCUGAAUGAGCUAAUUCUCUGUGUUUUCCCACAAACCUGUUCUUCCCUUUCUGGGGCACUUAGCACUUUCCUGUGUCUCCUCUGUGAGACAGUGAGUGUGCUCGGUUCAAACUCUAUCCUCUGAAUCCUGUGUUUGCAGAGAUUGGUACCCCCCAUAGUGCUAAAAAAUGUGUUAUGUGAAUAAAUGGUUUAGCUUCUCUGUGCUUAAGUUUUUCCCAUCUAAAAAUAACAAUGUUAAUAAUACAUAAUAUUGGGAUUUCCAAGAACCUCCCUUAGAAAAAAGGCUACCCCCUUUCAUAAGAACAGCAGUUGUUUGUUAUUGAACACUUAUUAGAUGUUCACUGACCAGACACUUCACAUAUAUUAUCAUUAUGUCCUAUCAUUGUGCCACAAAGAGAUAGGUGCUAUUGUUCCCAUUUUAUAGGUGUUUGGGGAGGUGAAAUCACUGCCCCAAAUCAAUAGCAAGCAAGGCAGUGGCAGAGGUGGGAUUUGAAUUCCAAGUCUGUAAUUUUUCUACUAUAGAAUUUAGUCACAUGCGUUUAAUAUUUCCAUAGGAAGCUCCUCUUGGGUUGCCAUCAACAGGUCUCCUCAUGGCUAUCCUGGCUGUGCCACGAUGGUCUCCAAAAGUCUGGCCCUGAAAGUUAAGCUACUGAGAUCCAGUCCCUAAUGUAUUACUGAGUACAUGCAGCACCAUACGGCAGUGACAGCGCCUUCUGCAAGAAGAGAAACUCUAAACCGACUACAACAGUAUCAUUUCUGUGUUGAACCAUAAGUCACUGAAAACCCACUGCAACCAUGCUUCCAUAAUAGUAGCUGGAAUCUCCAAUUCUAGAAAGAAAAGGAAACAAAUGAAAAGCUUGAAAAACAAUUAAAGAAACACACUAAAACUGUUUUCUACUGAGUAAGAGGAUAUAUUCCAGGGAUUUCAAAGCAGUUACAGGCAGAGGAGCCUCUUGCCAUGGUCACCACCACCACGGACC